rnacentral:rRNA from 1 species
ACGGGGUGCAGCAGGCGCGAAACCUUUACACUGCGGGAAACCGCGACAAGGGGACACCGAGUGCCAGCAUACAAUGCUGGCUGUCCACAUGUGUAAAUAGCAUGUGAUAGCAAGGGCCGGGCAAGACCGGUGCCAGCCGCCGCGGUAACACCGGCGGCCCGAGUGGUAAUCACUAUUAUUGGGUCUAAAGGGUCCGUAGCCGGUUUAAUCAGUCUUCCGGGAAAUCUGACAGCUCAACUGUUAGGCUCCCGGGGGAUACUGUUAGACUUGGGACCGGGAGAGGUAAGAGGUACUACAGGGGUAGGAGUGAAAUCUUGUAAUCCCUGUGGGACCACCAGUGGCGAAGGCGUCUUACCAGAACGGGUCCGACGGUGAGGGACGAAAGCUGGGGGCACGAACCGGAUUAGAUACCCGCGUAGUCC